CUCAGGCCUGGAACUGUAUUUCCGCCCUUCCUGCCCGCCUACCAGUUUUACGCCAGCCUUUAUUUUUGGACACUGUGUCUCCCCAGCGGAAGUUUUCCAGAACUUUAUUGGAUUUUCUUCACGUACAAAGCCCUGUGUAAUAACAUUGAAUGGACAAUUGCAGCAACUAUAACCUGCGAAGAGCAAAGCAAACCUAGAGAAAGAAGGCUUGGGUCACUACUGCAGGAUGAGCAUCCAAUGGUCUCCGGGACUGAUAUACAUUGAUUGUGAGAAAAGGAGAAGAGAUUAAAACAUAAAGAGUUCACAAGCCCAC